rnacentral:lncRNA from 1 species
UAUUUCUACGUUGUGGAUGAGAUUAUCAUCUCAUCUUGGCUAAUAUUGUUGGCUUAAAUGGAUCAGCAUCUUAUCCUAUUACGGGAGGUCCAGUUGGGCCGAUUCACGUUCGAAAUGGCGGGAUAUCUGGUUCGGCCGACUCAUAUUCAGAGUGGAGGCUAAUUGGGCCGAUUCACAAUUGAGAUCUACGAAAACUGUGUCUGUACGCCUUAAGUGAUAUAUAUGGUUGCAUCUUUCUAGCUAAUAACUCAAGCUCUUAGAAUUAGUGAUUAACGCCAACGAUCUGACAAAUAUUAGAUGAACCAUUUUAUUCUUUAUCUUUCGCUAGUUAUGAAGAAUUAAU